CUUGUCUGGUUUCUCUUCAGAUCAUAUAAAUCUUUUACCUUUUACUAAAAUGUCUGUAGAGUAGAACAGUUAUGAAUAUAUAACCAUUUUUGAAGACUCUGAGAGGCAGCAGAGUU